rnacentral:lncRNA from 1 species
GAGCUCUUUCUGAGAUGAAGAGAACUCUCAAUGUCAAGAUUUCAACAAGAAGAGAAUGGAAUACACGAUACGGACAUCCAUAAAAAUUCUUCAGAGGGUGUUUUACUACUGAGCUGCAAAGGGAAAAACUUAAAAUGGAUAUGAAAAGUGAAGAAAGUGAUCAUAGGAGAAAACCAUUUCAGAUGACAAGAGCACCUCAAAGGCAGCAGCCUCAAGAAGCAGCCAUGGCCCCAGAGUUGUCCCACGGAUGCAGAAAACUUAAUGGAGGAGGCUGAGGUCAGAAUGGGAAGAGUUUUUAAAAAGUAAAAAGGGGAGCUAAUAUGUG